rnacentral:rRNA from 1 species
UACGUAGGGGCGAGCGUUGUCCGGAAUGACUGGGCGUAAAGGGCGUGUAGGCGGCUUUAUAAGUCUGGAGUGAAAGUCCUGCUUUCAAGGUGGGAAUUGCUUUGGAGACUGUAGAGCUUGAGUGCGGAAGAGGUAAGUGGAAUUCCCAGUGUAGCGGUGAAAUGCGUAGAGAUCGGGAGGAACACCAGUGGCGAAGGCGGGUAACUGGACUGCAACUGACGCUGAGGCGCGAAAGUGUGGGGAGCAAACAGGAUUAGAUACCCGCGUAGUCCCU